rnacentral:miRNA from 1 species
AAGGAUGCCGGUUUGAGCU